rnacentral:rRNA from 1 species
UACGUAGGGUGCAAGCGUUGUCCGGAAUUAUUGGGCGUAAAGAGCUCGUAGGCGGUUUGUCGCGUCUGCUGUGAAAUCCCGGGGCUCAACCCCGGAACUGCAUUGGAUACUGCCUUGCUUGAGUACUGGAGAGGGAACUGGAAUUUACGGUGUAGCAGUGAAAUGCGUAGAGAUCGUAAGGAAGGCCAGUGGCGAAGGCGAGUUCCUGGACAGUUACUGACGCUGAGGCACGAAGGCCAGGGGAGCAAACGGG